AAAGACUUUAAGUUAAAUAAACUUUUAGCCUUCAAAGUUAAAUAUAAAGUUAGUCUUUAAGUCUUA
rnacentral:tRNA from 1 species